GACGAACGCUGGCGGCGUGCUUAACACAUGCAAGUCGAACGGAAAGGCCCUGCUUUUCUGGGGUGCUCGAGUGGCGAACGGGUGAGUAACACGUGAGUAACCUGCCCUUGACUUUGGGAUAACUUCAGGAAACUGCGGCUAAUACCGGAUAGGAGCUUCUGCUGCAUGGUGGUGGUUGGAAAGUUUCGGCGGUUGGGGAUGGGCUCGCGGCCUAUCAGCUUGUUGGUGGGGUAGUGGCUUACCAAGGCUUUGACGGGUAGCCGGCCUGAGAGGGUGACCGGCCACAUUGGGACUGAGAAACGGCCCAGACUCCUACGGGAGGCAGCAGUGGGGAAUAUUGCACAAUGGGCGGAAGCCUGAUGCAGCGACGCCGCGUGCGGGAUGACGGCCUUCGGGUUGUAAACCGCUUUCGCCUGUGAAGAAGCGAGAGUGACGGUACCGGGUGAAGAAGCACCGGCUAACUACGUG
rnacentral:rRNA from 1 species